AGAGUUUGAUCCUGGCUCAGGACGAACGCUGGCGGCGUGCCUAACACAUGCAAGUCGAACGGAGAAUUUUAUUUCGGUAGAAUUCUUAGUGGCGAACGGGUGAGUAACGCGUAGGCAACCUGCCCUUUAGACGGGGACAACAUUCCGAAAGGAGUGCUAAUACCGGAUGUGAUCAUCUUGCCGCAUGGCAGGAUGAAGAAAGAUGGCCUCUACAAGUAAGCUAUCGCUAAAGGAUGGGCCUGCGUCUGAUUAGCUAGUUGGUAGUGUAACGGACUACCAAGGCGAUGAUCAGUAGCCGGUCUGAGAGGAUGAACGGCCACAUUGGGACUGAGACACGGCCCAAACUCCUACGGGAGGCAGCAGUGGGGAAUCUUCCGCAAUGGACGAAAGUCUGACGGAGCAACGCCGCGUGAGUGAUGAAGGAUUUCGGUCUGUAAAGCUCUGUUGUUUAUGACGAACGUGCAGUGUGUGAACAAUGCAUUGCAAUGACGGUAGUAAACGAGGAAGCCACGGCUAACUACGUGCCAGCAGCCGCGGUAAUACGUAGGUGGCAAGCGUUGUCCGGAAUUAUUGGGCGUAAAGAGCAUGUAGGCGGCUUAAUAAGUCGAGCGUGAAAAUGCGGGGCUCAACCCCGUAUGGCGCUGGAAACUGUUAGGCUUGAGUGCAGGAGAGGAAAGGGGAAUUCCCAGUGUAGCGGUGAAAUGCGUAGAUAUUGGGAGGAACACCAGUGGCGAAGGCGCCUUUCUGGACUGUGUCUGACGCUGAGAUGCGAAAGCCAGGGUAGCGAACGGGAUUAGAUACCCCGGUAGUCCUGGCCGUAAACGAUGGGUACUAGGUGUAGGAGGUAUCGACCCCUUCUGUGCCGGAGUUAACGCAAUAAGUACCCCGCCUGGGGAGUACGG
rnacentral:rRNA from 1 species